GCGGGAGUUUUUCCGUUUACUGGUGAAGGCCAUCUUUCAGGACAGUGGUGCUUUUGAAGCUACACCAAAUGGAUGCACACUGAAAUUUAACAUCCUACACUUGCAAAAUGGAGUAUAUCGAACCAUUGGCAGGAUGUUGUCCACGAUAAUAGUGCAAGGUGGAGAAGCACCAGCCUUUCUCUCUCCACAUGUAGUAGACUACAUUGUGUCAGGAGACAUUCUUCAAGUACACCUAACACCGGAUGAUAUAGGUGACCCUGAGUUAAGAGAGAAUCUGAAAAAGAACCCCAGUUUGCGUGUUCUGCUUGACCUAUCGGGGGAGGACAAAGAUCUGACAGCCAGUUUAAUUGCUGGGGUUCUCAGGCCAAGCUAUUCUGUCCUUGGGAGCAACAGAAGAGUUAGAGAGGAGCUGAUGGUGGUCAAAUUU
ensembl:lncRNA